rnacentral:tRNA from 1 species
AAGGAUUUAAGUUAAUCAAACUAUUGACCUUCAAAGCCAAAAAUAGAUCUUAUCUAAGCCUUA